GCGUGGCAGUGUGAGAUGUUUCCCAUUCCUUAUCCAGAACAAAGUCAGGAAUGAAACAAGAUCCAAGAUCCCGUAAAAGUGGAUUAUUAUUUCCAAGCAUCUGAGAAGCUUCAGACAGCUGCAGCUGGGAUAAGACCUCCAUGUCCAACGUCAAACCGGAAAACGGGCAAAAUUAAAAAUUACUUCUCACCUAGAAGAAAACCGCUUGCACUUUUCAAAGGAGCUUAAAAAUUAUCAACAAUAUUACUGAGAUCUAAUCAAAUAAUUACCUAGAUAAUACGAAGCUUGGAUUAAAACUGAGGUUUUGGCUUUUUUAAAAAAAAACACCAGGCAUAAGCAUAAAGAAGAAUUUCCAGGGGCUAAUAAGACGACAACAAACAUUUGAGGGAUUGUCGACAGCUUGGAACAAGGCCAGAUGAACAACCGUAGCGAAUGCUUCAUUUCCCACAAAGACGUUUCCACGUGUCAAAGUUUCUUGCGGUGCCACUUUGCCCAUCUAAAGAGGCAGAUGGCCCAACAGAGGGCAGAGUACGAAGCUAUUAUUUUAAGCCUGGAGCAACAGAAUAAAGAAAGGGACAUAAAGAUUAAGGAUCUACAUUCAAAACUGAAUCAGCAACGACAGUGGCAUCAUUUAGUGGAAAUUAAAAUAGGCAAUGCAGAGAGGGCACGCAAGGAUGCAGAGAAGAAAAAUGAAACACUUCAGAGAGAAAUGGAAGAGUUUUUUUGUACUUUUGGAAAACUGACAAGUGAAGAAAAACUGCCGGAGCAAAUUACUCAAAAUUUUUAGAUGCUAUUUGAUCCUAACUUCAUCUGACAAAAAAAAAAAACCCUAUAAAUGUACUAAUUAUCCAAGUAUUUAAAGGUAAAAAUACAAAUGAAGUUCCUCUUUGUUACAUUUUUUAAAACACUAAAUGUUUAGUAAGCUUUUGUUUGAAUGGUUAGAGAAUUACAUUUUUAAAACUGAGCCUGGAAUGGUUUAUGUACUGGAAGAAAAAUCUAGAAUAAGUAUUUGUUAAGAGUAGAAAACAGAAUUUCUAUAGCAAGCCCCAUUCUUGCAUCCCCUGCAAGAGGAGAAAAAGAAAGACUGAGAGUUGUUUUGAAUUGCGAAAUCCAGUUUGGGAUCCUGCAAUGAAUCCAAACAUCUCUCAAGAUUCAAAUGUGUUGUUACAAUUAUUGAUAGACCAUAAUUAUAUGUGAUCUGACUUCCAUUAAAAAUGAUACAAGCAUAUAUGUGAAAGUAACAACAGAUCUUAGUACAGGGCAACCAACACUUAGGAGGAGGAGGAGGAGUUAGUGAGAGGACUGUUAGAUUCAGAAAGAGGUCUAGUACUGAAAGUUACGUCAGAUGUUUUAACAGGAGGGAUCUUCAAAUUUCUACAAUUUAGCUGAUUUAAUACACAAGAUUCAAUCAGUCAUAGUUUUGCUGAAAAGGAGCUCGACAGUUUAACUGCUUUUUUGUGUGUAAAAGAGAAUAUUUCCCCUCUCACAUUUUGCAUUUUACAAGUACAAGUACAUUUUGCAUUUUACAAGUACAGUUAUGGCAUCUAGUGGGUUACAUAUUUUGGAUCUUGGUAAAUGUCUUAAGAAAUGUCAAGGUUCAAAGUCACUGAAGCUCACUCGUAGGAGUCAUUAUACAAUCAUGAGGACAUUUUGAAUGAGCCUAUUUUUCCAGAAGAAUUUUCCAUUUUGUAAUAAAGUCCGUCAGCUUCUUGUUUAGUGUUCUGUAGAUGUCUUUGUAAUAGGAAAUCUUGGCAUAGCAACAAAAAGAGGAAGAAAAAGAAAGGUUCUUUUUUUCUAUUAUUAUUUGAAAUACAGAUGUUUAAUUUUAAUGAACAUUACAAAAAAUAUUUAUUUUUGACGUUUCUUUCUGUAGCUUCAGGCCAACAAUGUACUUACUUUGGAAUCUAUAAAUGCAUUAAAAUAUGUAGAUCAAACAGUGCCUUCCUUGAAAUCAUGGAGAUGCAUGUCAUGAUAAAAUACAAAUAUUUUAAAUUUAAAAAGAUGUCCCUAAUUAAUAACCACACCACCAGGUGCUUGUUAACCUUGGCAACCUUAACAGAUAGCUAUUUGGUGCAAUCUGUUUGAGGUUUGUAUAGAAUUUGUUUUAAUUACAUCCAUUUUUAAUGCUGAUUUUCCUGCUUUUAAAUGCCAGUUUUUAUAUAUGUAUUCUUUUUUUAUUAUUCUAUAUCAUCCAGAGACAUUUCUGUGAGAUGAAUGGCUAUGUAAGUCUGAUUAAUAAAUUGAUUACAGCAAGAA